AUGGCAAGUCAUCCAGAGAGUUAUAAUGGACCGGGGUCAUGCCUUGUUAAGCAGAAUAAGAUUACACCAUAUCACUUUAUCACUGACCGGUAUCAAGUCAUUAUAAACUUUCCUGCUGUAGAACUUCCCCUCAUUCAACAUACUAGCCCACAGACUUUUCCAGACUGUAGAAACAACAAUCCGCAAUACCGCACGUCCAUUUUUUCGAUCACUCUUCUUCUUCCAUCAACAAACACCCCAAACCCUGAAUCCUACCUUCUCCCUCUCCCAUCGAUUUCAUCAUUUGUGGAACGGAGGGAGUAA